rnacentral:lncRNA from 1 species
CUCAUUUCCUUCUUUCACUGUUUUUCAGGGUCAGCACCAUCCUCUGAGGUUGGAAUCUCACCAGCCAGCCAUCUUCUUGCCUCCGAGCCAGCACCCCUGCAGCUGAGCAGCCUGGAGGGCAUCAGUGCAUCCAACAGCAAGGAAACUGUGAAGAUAGUCUGCAGGAAACCAGCACUUGCCUUUCUGAGGGAUGAAACGGGAGAGUGAAAGCACCAAGUGAAGGGAGCUUGCCUCAGACUGGACGGGUUGGAGGUCUGUGACCUUUGACAUUAACCUGGUCAGUUUUCACCUCCUGUCGCUAAACUUGAGUAGUAAGUUUUGUAAAUCACCUCUCA